rnacentral:lncRNA from 15 species
UCCACUGUGUGAGGCAGAUUCAACCAGUGUAUUCUUCCAUGAAAAUCAUUCCUAAAAUAGCUCAAACUAUCUCCGGCUUUGAAGACAAUUGGUGUUAAUUUAUGCAGGUGUGUGGCAGGACCUUGCUUUAAGUGAAUUGGAGUGUGAUGAUUUAGAUUUCAUUAUUCUAAUAAAGUGCAAAGAUUAAGCAAAACUUGGUAGAAAGAACUUUAGGGUACAUUUCACAUUAAAUGAGCGUCCAGGGUAAUUGUUUCAGGUAGAAGGUCUGUUUAAUGAAAUGUCUUGACAGUGAUUUGCAGUUGCUCCAGAAUAGAGAAUAGAGGUUUGGAAAGGUUGACAGAGAGUGAUAUGAGCCAUGCUAUACCUUAAGUUAAGGUAAAACUUAUGUGACAACAUAUUCAGUGUCAGUAUGGCUCACCAAAACCUAUUUUUAUGAGAAAUUUUAGGAUGUUAGGAUGAACACAUUUUUAGCAACUGUAUUAACAUGACAAAAAGUAACUGGAAACAACUGUACAUAUAACCUUGAAGGUCACUGCAACUAGGCCAACCUGGUAGCUCACCUGGUAGAGCUGGUGUCCCCCAUGUACCAAGACUGACUCCUUGCUAUGGGUUUGACUCAGACCUGUGACCUGUUCAAAAUCUCUACAGCAGGUUUAGGAAAACAAAUUAUGGAUCUGCCAUCCAUUUAUUAAGUCUGAGUGAAUAAAUAUAUCUUUGCACAAACCUCAUAUAUACCAGGUAGAUAGAAACACCAGGAGAUGUAAACCACUGAUGAAUAUAUUUGUGUCUUUUGUGAUCAGGCCUGCUGUCCCUCCUUCCCCGCCCAACGCCACUGGGAUUGUGGGAGCCGACGUCACUCCAGCAGCAGAGAGCAACAGUGCUGCUGAGGCAAAGGCAGAGAAGAAGAGAAACUGAUUAUCACUCACCAAACGUGUUUUUCAAUGGGCACUAGUUGGCAAAAAUAAUCUUGAAUUUUUUCAACUUAUCUCAAAAAUCAUGAUUUCACACUUAUGUUUUGUUUUUACAAUUAAAUGGGUUUUAUGUUAAUGUUCAAUAGAUUAAAUUUAUUAUACCCUGAUUUCAUUCAACCUACAUUACCCAAAUUAUCCAGCAGGGAGCAGCAACAGAUGUUACGAGGGAUAGCAAAUAGACCACAAGCUGUACAAUAAUACAGGAAUACAAGAUGUAUUGCUGUAUUGACAAGCAUUCACGGGGACUCUGCAUACUAUAGUGCUGAAAUGUACAAGUCAUUACAUUGUGUGCAACAUAGUAUGACAGCACAUAAGAUCUAUUGCUCUGUUACACUGUGUGACCUUGUUUUUUAAAUACACCGUGAUGAAAACUUAAGAGCAGUUUCAAACUGGUAGGCCCACUUCAUGUCAGCACCUCUGUUAUAUAAUAAUAGCUUAAUCACAUACAUCAAUAGCCUAAUUUUACGCAUGAUCCGUGAUGAUAAAGAU